AGAGUUUGAUCCUGGCUCAGGACGAACGCUGGCGGCGCGCCUAACACAUGCAAGUCGAACGAGCGAGAGAGAGCUUGCUUUCUCGAGCGAGUGGCGAACGGGUGAGUAACGCGUGAGGAACCUGCCUCAAAGAGGGGGACAACAGUUGGAAACGACUGCUAAUACCGCAUAAGCCCACGGCUCGGCAUCGAGCAGAGGGAAAAGGAGCAAUCCGCUUUGAGAUGGCCUCGCGUCCGAUUAGCUAGUUGGUGAGGUAACGGCCCACCAAGGCGACGAUCGGUAGCCGGACUGAGAGGUUGAACGGCCACAUUGGGACUGAGACACGGCCCAGACUCCUACGGGAGGCAGCAGUGGGGGAUAUUGCACAAUGGGGGAAACCCUGAUGCAGCGACGCCGCGUGGAGGAAGAAGGUCUUCGGAUUGUAAACUCCUGUUGUUGAGGAAGAUAAUGACGGUACUCAACAAGGAAGUGACGGCUAACUACGUGCCAGCAGCCGCGGUAAAACGUAGGUCACAAGCGUUGUCCGGAAUUACUGGGUGUAAAGGGAGCGCAGGCGGGAAGACAAGUUGGAAGUGAAAUCCAUGGGCUCAACCCAUGAACUGCUUUCAAAACUGUUUUUCUUGAGUAGUGCAGAGGUAGGCGGAAUUCCCGGUGUAGCGGUGGAAUGCGUAGAUAUCGGGAGGAACACCAGUGGCGAAGGCGACCUACUGGGCACCAACUGACGCUGAGGCUCGAAAGCAUGGGUAGCAAACAGGAUUAGAUACCCUGGUAGUCCAUGCCGUAAACGAUGAUUACUAGGUGUUGGAGGAUUGACCCCUUCAGUGCCGCAGUUAACACAAUAAGUAAUCCACCUGGGGAGUACGACCGCAAGGUUGAAACUCAAAGGAAUUGACGGGGGCCCGCACAAGCAGUGGAGUAUGUGGUUUAAUUCGAAGCAACGCGAAGAACCUUACCAGGUCUUGACAUCCGUCUAACGAAGCAGAGAUGCAUUAGGUGCCCUUCGGGGAAAGGCGAGACAGGUGGUGCAUGGUUGUCGUCAGCUCGUGUCGUGAGAUGUUGGGUU
rnacentral:rRNA from 1 species